GAUGAAGAACGUAGCGAAAUGCGAUAAGUAAUGUGAAUUGCAGAAUUCAGUGAAUCAUCGAAUCUUUGAACGCAUCUUGCGCUCCUUGGUAUUCUGAGGAGCAUGCCUGUUUGAGUGUCAUUAAAUUCUCAACUACACUGACUUUGAAUUGGUGUGGCUUGGAUUUGGGGGGAAAAUUGUUGUGGGCUUUUUGUAUAGUCUGCUCCCCUGAAAUUGAUUAGCGGUACCUUUGUGGAACUGUCUACAGGUGUGAUAAUUAUCUACAUCUUAGACAUCUGCUGGAAUGCUGCUUUCUAAACCUUACUUGUAUUGACAAUCUUGACCUCCAAUCAGGUAGGACUACCCGCUGAACUUAAGCAUAUCAAUAAGCGGAGGA
rnacentral:misc_RNA from 1 species